GUGAGUAACCUGCCCUGGAGUGGGGGACAACAGUUGGAAACGACUGCUAAUACCGCAUAAGCCCACGGUACCGCAUGGUACUGAGGGAAAAGGAUUUAUUCGCUUUAGGAUGGACUCGCGUCCAAUUAGCUAGUUGGUGAGGUAACGGCCCACCAAGGCGACGAUUGGUAGCCGGACUGAGAGGUUGAACGGCCACAUUGGGACUGAGACACGGCCCAGACUCCUACGGGAGGCAGCAGUGGGGGAUAUUGCACAAUGGGGGAAACCCUGAUGCAGCGACGCCGCGUGGAGGAAGAAGGUUUUCGGAUUGUAAACUCCUGUCGUUAGGGACGAUAAUGACGGUACCUAA
rnacentral:rRNA from 1 species